AACGAACGCUGGCGGCGUGUUUAAGACAUGCAAGUCGCACGGGAUCAUUUUGGUAGCAAUACUCGGAUGGUCCAGUGGCGCACGGGUGAGUAACACGUGAAUGACAUGCCCUUCAGUGGGGGAUAGCCCAGGGAAACUUGGAUUAAUACCCCAUGGUCUCGCGAGAGUAAAGGUGGCGCAAGCUGCCGCUGGAGGAUUGGUUCGCGUUCUAUCAGCUUGUUGGCGGGGUAACGGCCCACCAAGGCUACGACGGAUACCUGGUCUGAGAGGACGAUCAGGCACACUGGAACUGAGACACGGUCCAGACACCUACGGGUGGCAGCAGUCGAGAAUAAUUCACAAUGGGGGCAACCCUGAUGGUGCAACGCCGCGUGGAGGAUGAAGGUCUUCGGAUUGUAAACUCCUGUCAUCCGGGAGCAAGACCUGGCGGUCAAUAGCCGGCAGGGUUGAUAGUACCGGAAGAGGAAGGGACGGCUAACUUCGUGCCAGCCGCCGCGGUAAAAC
rnacentral:rRNA from 1 species